UAAAAACGAAACGGAAUCAAACGAAAAGCA
rnacentral:piRNA from 1 species